GUAGUUAGCCGGAGCUUCCUCGUAGGGUACCGUCAUCUACUCGUCCCCUACAACAGAGGUUUACGAUCCGAAAACCUUCUUCCCUCACGCGGCGUUGCUGGGUCAGGCUUUCGCCCAUUGCCCAAUAUUCCCCACUGCUGCCUCCCGUAGGAGUCUGGACCGUUUCUCAGUUCCAAUGUGGCCGGUCAUCCUCUCAGAUCGGCUACCCAUCGUUGACUUGGUGCGCCGUUACCGCACCAACUAUCUAAUGGGACGCGAGCUCACCCUUCCGCGGAUUUCUCCUUUGACCCCUUCCCCAUGUGAGGAUGUGGUCUCAUGCGGUAUUAGCAACUGUUUCCAGUUGUUAUCCCCCUCGAAAGGACAGAUUGCUCACGCGUUACGCACCCGUCCGCCACUAAGUUUGCUUCCGUUGCCUUCCACAAACUCCGUUCGACUUGCAUGUGUUAAGCACGCCGCCAGCGUUCGUCCUGAGCCAUAAUCAAACUCUGA
rnacentral:rRNA from 1 species